rnacentral:rRNA from 1 species
UACGGAGGAUGCGAGCGUUAUCCGGAUUUAUUGGGUUUAAAGGGUGCGUAGGCGGACUGUCAAGUCAGCGGUAAAAUUGAGAGGCACAACCUCUUCCCGCCGUUGAAACUGGUGGUCUUGAGUGGAUGAGAAGUACGCGGAAUGCGUGGUGUAGCGGUGAAAUGCAUAGAUAUCACGCAGAACUCCGAUUGCGAAGGCAGCGUACCGGCAUCCAACUGACGCUGAGGCACGAAAGCGUGGGGAUCAAACAGG